rnacentral:rRNA from 1 species
UGGGGAAUAUUGGACAAUGGGCGCAAGCCUGAUCCAGCCAUGCCGCGUGAGUGAUGAAGGCCUUAGGGUUGUAAAGCUCUUUCGCCGGUGAAGAUAAUGACGGUAACCGGAGAAGAAGCCCCGGCUAACUUCGUGCCAGCAGCCGCGGUAAUACGAAGGGGGCUAGCGUUGCUCGGAAUCACUGGGCGUAAAGCGCACGUAGGCGGAUCGUUAAGUCAGGGGUGAAAUCCUGGAGCUCAACUCCAGAACUGCCCUUGAUACUGGCGAUCUCGAGUUCGAGAGAGGUUGGUGGAACUCCGAGUGUAGAGGUGAAAUUCGUAGAUAUUCGGAAGAACACCAGUGGCGAAGGCGGCCAACUGGCUCGAUACUGACGCUGAGGUGCGAAAGCGUGGGGAGCAAAACAGGAUUAGAUACCCUGGUAGUCCACGCCGUAAAACGAUGGAUGCUAGCCGUUGGGGGGUUUACCUCUCAGUGGCGCAGCUAACGCCUUAAGCAUCCCGCCUGGGGAGUACGGUCGCAAGAUUAAAACUUAAAGGAAUUGACGGGGUCAUAGCUGUUUCCU